AAAUGUUAAACGCUCAUGUGAUUUAGCCAUUGGUUCUUGGGCAGUUAUUUCCGCACUAUCAUGGCUUUAUUAUACCGAAAGACGCUUGAGCUAUACUAAUACAAUGCAAAUUAUUGCUGCGCUGGAACAGAAGAAACGAAACGCUAAUAAAAAUAAGGCGAUUGAAGAAAGCUAAUGGAAUAGUCACACAUGGUAAAGUUAACCGAAUUUUUGAUACCGAGGAAAAAUCAUAAACCCAGGGUUUAAAUUUAGUAUUUCUUAUGGUUGAGCUUAAGUUUGAGUACUAAGUUAAAAAUUUGGAGAUUUGAGUAAAGAACAAAAGUAA
rnacentral:lncRNA from 1 species